AGUAGGAAAAUAGUCCCUUCGAGAAACUAAUUCCUUUUUUGCGAGCUCCAUCAGGACGGGAGGGGAUUAUCCGAUAAGGCAGCCAAGCGAGUCCCCUGCAGCGGUAGCGGCCCGGCGGUGGCGGUUGCGGCUUGAACAAGGUGAUGGCUUUCUACCUCUCUCCUGCAGCACGUUCCUUUACGCACCUCCACUCUUCCUCCCUUCCUCUACCUCCUUCUUCGUCGCCCUCACUCAGGAGGAGCAGAAGGAGAAGCCUCAUUCCCUCCCACCCUGUUUCCUUCCCCUUCCUCCUUCAUCUCCAUCGGCAUCCUCACAAGCCCCUCAACGUCUACCUAGAAGAUCCCAACACUUCUCCUCCUUCUACUCCAUCUUCCAAUCCGACGCCCUCCAAGAACUCCAUAUGGGUCAACCCCAACAGCCCCCGCGCCUCCCGCCUCCGCCAGCACACCUCCGGCUCUCGUUAUGCCCUCCUCAUCCGCCUUGCUGCCUCCCUCGACUCUUCGGAUUCCUCCGACCUCGCCAUCUCCACCGUCCUCGCGUCCCUCGGCAGCGCCGCCUCCGAGCAGGACGCCGUCACCGUCCUUAACUCCAUGUCCAACUCUCAUAACGCCGUCCUUGCUCUUCGUUGGUUCCAGAGCAACAUUAGGAUCAAAAGGGAGGUAAUUCUCCACAACGUCGCACUUAAGGUUUUCAGAAAGUCCAAGGACUGGGCUGGCGCGGAGGCUCUAUGGUGGAAGAUGCUGGAAAAGGGAAUCAAGCCGGAUAAUGUGACGUUCACGACCAUGAUUAGCUGUGCCAGGUUCUGCAACAAGCCCGAACAAGCUGUCAAGUUGUUUGAGAAAAUGCCCGAGUUUGGAUGCUGCCCAGAUGAUAUCACCUACUCGGCCAUGAUUGAUGCUUAUGGUCGGUCGAGUAAUGUGGAGAUGGCUCUUGAGUUGUACGGUCGAGCUCGUGAGGAAAAGUGGCAACUUGAUCCUGCGACUUUUGCUACAGUGAUAAGGGUCUAUGGCAUGUCAGGUGAUUUUGAUGGAGCAUUGAAUGUGUAUGAGGAAAUGAAGGCUCUUGGUGUGAAGCCAAAUGUUUUUAUUUACAAUACAUUGUUGGAUGCCAUGGGCAGGGCAGGAAGGCCAUGGCAAGUCAAGACUAUUUACCGUGAAAUGUGCAGCACGGGGUUGGCUCCUAACAGAGCAACAUACUCAGCUCUUCUGCGAGCAUAUGCUAAAGCUAGAUAUGCUGAAGAUGCACUCAGCGUGUAUAAGCAGAUGAAGAAAGAAAUGGAGCUUGAUGUCAUCUUAUACAAUAUGCUUUUGUCAAUGUGUGCUGACGUUGGUUUGGUUGAUGAAGCAGUGAAAAUAUUUAAUGAAAUGAAGGGUCUAUCAGAUGAGUCCAAACCAGAUAGCUGGAGUUAUUCAGCCUUGAUAACUGCAUACUCAUGUAGUGGAAAAGUUUCUGAGGCUGAAACCAUGUUGAAUAACAUGUUAGAUGCUGGGUUUCAGCCAAAUAUUUUUGUGCUUACAUCUUUAAUCCAGUGCUACGGUAAAGCUGGAAGGACUGAUAGUGUUGUGGAAGCAUUUGACAAACUUCUAGGGUGGGGGAUCAAACCUGAUGAUAGGUUCUGUGGAUGUCUCUUGAAUGUGGCAGCUCAGACGACAACAGAAGAACUAGGGAAGAUUAUUGGUUGUAUUGAAAGAGGAAAUACUCGGUUGGGCUCUUUAGUAAUGUUACUGGUGGAUGAGGGAAGUAACAAUGAUACUAUUAGACAAGAAGCUGAAGUACUCUUUAAUAAUGUGAGUAGUGAAGUCAAAAGAGCUUAUAGUAAUUGUUUGAUAGAUCUCUGUGUAAACCUCAACUAUUUGGAAAGAGCUUGUGUGCUCCUCAACCUGGCAAUUCAGCUUGAGAUAUACACAGAUCUUCAAUCUCGAUCUGCUACACAGUGGUCCUUACAUGUGAAGAGUCUCUCACUUGGAGCAGCUCUAACUGCAUUACAUGUAUGGAUGAAUGAUUUAACCAAAUCUUUGCAGAGUGGGCAGGACUUGCCUCCGUUACUUGGUAUUCACACAGGGCAUGGAAAACAUAGAUACUCAGAAAAAGGGUUAGCAUCUUCUUUUGAGCCUCACUUGAGGGAAAUUGGUGCACCAUUUCAUGAAGCACCAGACAAGGCUGGAUGGUUUCUGACCACAAAAGUUGCAGCUCAAUCAUGGUUGGAGUCGGGGAACUCAUCUUACAUAGCUGCUGCUUAGGCUACAGAGUUAGGUAAGCCAGCUACCAACACAAUCUAGCUAACGACUCUCGAGUGUCUGGCAGUCUUGCUUUAAAGGCUGUUACUAAUAAGGCAAUUAUGAUUAUCAAGAAAACCUGCAUUGGAUUUUCAUCCAGAAAGAGUAAAGAUUGAUCUCAUAGGUUAUUACAUGUUCAAGCUAUCUAUGUUGAUCUUAACCAUCCUGAGCAUUCUAACAAGCAACUUAGAACCUGAACUCUUAUGAAUCAUAUAUUUAUCUUGAAGGUAAUAUGGACAUCUGGAUGGUUUGCCAUUUUAUCUCUAACAAAAGGUUUCACUAAGUCUCAGACCUCAUUUGUUUGAUCUUCAUAUCUGUGCUUACUGUUUGCCUGAUUUCUAGCUUCUCAAAUUUGGCACUUUCUAUGGACAUGAACAAAACUCUUUCUGCAAUAAAACAGUUUUCCAAGUUCAAGAAAUUCACAAUACACAGAAAAAUGCCCUCUGUAAUUUAUAUUUCAGCGUCAACAAUAGAAUAACCAUCUUAUUUAAUGAAAUCUUGACCGUACGAGCAGGAAACCAUGGUUCAAGUGUCCCUACCCUUUAUUUUAUUUAUUUUUGAAAAUGGAUGUCUGAACAAUUAGGUCAGAGACCAAAAGUAGAACAGCAACUCUUGAAGGAAAAAAGUUCAAAGGACAAACAUACCCAUAAUACAAUUUUGCAACCUGUUGAGUUCAAUUAUUACAGGGUCAGAAGGGCUAGCAAAGAGUUCCGUGGCCCCAGCUGCAUCUCCCAAGCUGCCCAUUGCACCGCACACUUCUCUACUUCAAGCAGCUUGUUCCUCUUCUCACUUCCAGAGAAGACAACCGUGUCACAAAAACUGGAGGAUUCAUGGCAAUUUAUGAUGAAGGGUAUCUUGACAAACACUGCCCAUUCUCCAGGUGGGAUUCACCAGAGAAAGAGCAGCUGAAGCCGGCUACAACUCAGCUUGAUAGCUAUCAUUUGUAGGUGCAACUCCUCAAUCACUUUUGUUUUUUGAAUUACAUUAAAAAAAAAGUUUUGAGCGUGUAGAUUUGACAGCAUGGCCUACAACGGUUUUGUGUGGUUAUACUUUUGAUUGUUGUCGAUAGCUAUCAAUCAAAGAUUGUGUUAAAUAAAAACGAAAACAAGGCAAAAUCCAAGCUUCAGUCUUGUGACGGCGUCGAAUACACAGGCUAAUACAGAGAACAGAUUUGUUAUAUUCUUUUUUCUUGUUAAGCAGAUUAUAAAUGUGUGAUUGUGAUUAUUACUGAAACAGGCAGAAAAAGAAGUAAUGGUUUAUCAGGCUCUGUGCAAUCAAUGUAUCAAACUUAAGCCAACAAAGAAACGUUCUCCUGUUUGCACUGAGCCGAGCAUAUAAACCCAGAUAAGUUCAUGGUUGAACAGACUCAGAGAGAUUAUUUUGAUGCAGGAAAAAAAGAGAGAAGGCCUAAUUCUUAGCUUGGAAGAGUUUAUAUCCUUAAGUUUUUUUUUUUAUUCUUUUGAUCUUGUUAGAGGAUAAACACUCUUAUCACCAGCCAGUGCAACAUUACUUGCUUCUGGUCAUUGAAUCCACAUUGCAUUUGAUGAGUUCAGAUUUCAGCUUCACUAUUUCCAACUAAAACUAGAUUGUGAUGUGAAGCUUAUCCAAAAAUUAGGUGAUUCUUCUUCUUCUUUCCAGCUUCACUAGCCGGUGAACGCGGUUUACAGAAAUCAAACACUGGACAUACUUCUUGGAAAAGAUUCAUAGGACUCAUGUGAACUGUUCUUUUGUUUAUUGUUGUCUAUUUGGCUUAACAAUUGUACUUCUUGUUGUGCUUUUGAACAGGUCGAAAUGUGAAAUCUGAAAGCAAAGCUUACAAUUAUAAGCCUUAGAUCAAAAUGUCUAGUGGCCCAUUGAUUUGGAUUAAAUGGUUGGUGAGAAGGUGACACAAAGUGGAAAUAGUAUCUACUGAGACAACCGCUUUUAUUCUCUACUUUUGCAAAUCUUUGAAAUUUGGGUUGGAAAUGUGAAUACAAUAAAGAGACGGAGACGAGACGAAGAGAUUUUAUUUUGCAUGAGUUAUUAGUCUCAUAUUAGAAGUCUCUUAGUUUUAUUGUUGAUUUAAAUUAUGACACAUGUAUUGAUGUUGUAAACAUAUGUCUGGGGAGAGACUCUCUCACGCGUGGAUGCGCAAGGGUGGGUGCAAAUCUAAGGCUCGGAUUGUACUGAAUCAAAGUUGACUCGUGUGCAAGCACAAUCUACAGACGUUGAAUGUCGGACUAGUCUAGGCAAGAUUUGUCCAAGUGAAUAAAUCAACGUUUUGUCAUCGAAUCUCUUUUCCCCACUUGCUUAAGAGGGUAAUGAAAGCAUUAAUAUGAAA